rnacentral:rRNA from 1 species
GAUGAACGCUGGCGGCGUGCCUAAUACAUGCAAGUCGAGCGAACGGACGAGAAGGUUGCUUCUCUGUUGUUAGCGGCGGACGUGUGAGUCACACGUGGAUAACCUACCUAUAAGACUGGGAUAACUUCGGGAAACCGGAGCUAAUACCGGAUAAUAUUUUGAACCGCAUGGUUCAAAAGUGAAAGACGUUCUUGCUGUUACUUAUAGAUGUAUCCGCGCUGCAUUAGCUAGUUGGUCAGGUAACGGCUUACCAAGGCAACGAUGCAUAGCCGACCUAAGAGGGUCGUCGGCCACACUGGAACAGAGACACGGUCCAGACUCCUACGGGAGGCAGCAGUAGGGAAUCUUCCGCAAUGGGCGAAAGCCUGACGGAGCAACGCCGCGUGAGUGAUGAAGGUCUUCGGAUCGUAAAACUCUGUUAUUAGGGAAGAACAUAUGUGUAAGUAACUGUGCACAUCUUGACGGUACCUAAUCAGAAAGCCACGGCUAACUACGUG